GACCUUAUCCACAAGGCGCAGCCCAGACCACCGUCCGCCAUCUACAAUCACCACAGCCACCGUCGCACCACCAUCGACGGCCACCACAGGCUCAGCGAUGACACGAUAGAACGCACACACCGAAGCUCACGAAGAAACUAUCUCUCUUCGGAAUUCUAGAGGAUCCUUCAUCGGUUCUCCUUUUCCAUUGUCCUUUAGACACGGUCGAAACGCCGCUGUAGCGGCUCCACCAUUGCCGGUUCCGUUGCCGCAAGGCCUCCUCUCCUUCUGCUCUGUUUUCUGGUCACGCCGCCCAAACGUGCACGAGCCAGAGGUCAAUCGUCGACGUGGAGAGCUCCAGUAACUUUUCUCCGAUCUGAUCACGGACCGAAGUGAAAAACUCACUCUCAUCAAGGAGCAGGAGAUCUGCGUGUGUGCGUGCAAAGAAUGGACUGUCAGAAUCGCCAUUGAUCUUUGCAUUUAUACAAUCUGUGCAAGAAUCGCCAUUGCCCCAAACUUGGAAUGGAUUUUAAUCCUUUGGUGAUGACCUUUUCUGAUGCUGCGGUUUUCAUUUCUUAUCUCAAACUUGGACGACAUUUGUUUUGUCGUGCAGAAUGGACUUGCAGACUUGCUGAUAGAGCGGGCCCCAUAGUGCCACUUGUCGUCCACUGAAUGGACAAAUGUAUUGAUUACGUGGCUAUCAUUAGUUUAUUGAAACAUUUUCUUGCGAA